UAUUAGCUGUCCUGACGAUCAAAUAAAGGUUGGUACUGAACGUCUAACAGUUUUUACAGGCCUGAAAAAUAGUUACACAAAGAAUGAAGAUGUUAAAUAUGUGAAUACAUCAGUUCAUGAUGAUGAACUGUAUACAUAUGGUAGCAGUCAUGAAGUUUUUAUUGGUUAUGAUGAAGCUCUGAACUAUGGUAUAUGUAGAUUCAAAGUUUAUGUAAAAUAUGCUGAUUGUCCUAUACCUGAAACUGAUGCAGCUAUUGGUUAUUGUCCUAACAGUAAACAUAUUUGUAAAUUAAAUUGUCCAUCUGGAGAAACGUUAUCUAGAAAACACAAGCUUAGAUACAGAUGUGGAGCGUUGGGAGUCUAUAAUUCAGAACAUCCCAGACAGAAAUUUAUUUUACCUACGUGCGGAGGUUUGUACGGUUGAUA